rnacentral:rRNA from 1 species
CAGCAGUAGCCGCGGUAAAACGGAGGGGGCUAGCGUUGUUCGGAAUUACUGGGCGUAAAGCGCACGUAGGCGGCUUGGUAAGUUAGAGGUGAAAGCCUGGAGCUCAACUCCAGAAUUGCCUUUAAGACUGCCGAGCUAGCAGGUGAGAGAGGUAAGUGGAAUUCCGAGUGUAGAGGUGAAAUUCGUAGAUAUUCGGAAGAACACCAGUGGCGAAGGCGGCUUACUGGCUCAUACUGGACGCUGAGGUGCGAAAGCGUGGGGAGCAAACAGGAUUAGAUACCCGUGUAGUCCCUGUCUCUUAUAC